rnacentral:rRNA from 1 species
UAUGCCUAGCCGUAAACCUUGAUAGAAAUAUACAAUUGAUAUCCGCCAGGGAACUACAAGCGCCAGCUUAAAACCCAAAGGACUUGGCGGUGCCUCAGACCCACCUAGAGGAGCCUGUUCUAGAACCGAUAACCCCCGUUCAACCUCACCACCUCUUGUUUUACCCGCCUAUAUACCACCGUCGUCAGCUUACCCUGUGAAGGCCCUAUAGUAAGCAAAAUGGGCAAAACCCAAAACGUCAGGUCGAGGUGUAGCGCAUGGGGUGGGAAGAAAUGGGCUACAUUCUCUAAAUUAGAGCAUUACGAACCACGCUGUGAAAUCAGCGUCCGAAGGUGGAUUUAGCAGUAAACAGAAAACAGAGAGUUCUCUUGAAACUGGCUCUGAGGCGCGCACACACCGCCCGUCACUCUCCCCAAGUUCAACCUAUCCUUCUAAUUAAGAAGCCAACCGAACAAAGGGGAGGCAAGUCGUAACAUGGUAAGUGU